AUUGAACGCUCGCGGGAUGCUUUACACAUGCAAGUCGAACGGCAGCGCGGACUUCGGUCUGGCGGCGAGUGGCGAACGGGUGAGUAAUGUAUCGGAACGUGCCCAGUAGCGGGGGAUAACUACGCGAAAGCGUAGCUAAUACCGCAUACUCCCUACGGGGGAAAGCAGGGGAUCGUAAGACCUUGCACUAUUGGAGCGGCCGAUAUCGGAUUAGCUAGUUGGUGAGGUAACGGCUCACCAAGGCGACGAUCCGUAGCUGGUUUGAGAGGACGACCAGCCACACUGGGACUGAAACACGGCCCAGACUCCUACGGGAGGCAGCAGUGGGGAAUUUUGGACAAUGGGGGCAACCCUGAUCCAGCCAUCCCGCGUGUGCGAUGAAGGCCUUCGGGUUGUAAAGCACUUUUGGCAGGAAAGAAACGUCGCGGGCUAAUACCCCGUGGAACUGACGGUACCUGCAGAAUAAGCACCGGCUAACUACGUG
rnacentral:rRNA from 1 species